CCUACGGGCGGCUGCAGUGGGGAAUAUUGGACAAUGGGCGAAAGCCUGAUCCAGCCAUGCCGCGUGUGUGAAGAAGGCCUUCGGGUUGUAAAGCACUUUCAGUGGGGAAGAAAGCCUUGGGGCUAAUACCCUCGAGGAAGGACAUCACCCACAGAAGAAGCACCGGCUAACUCCGUGCCAGCAGCCGCGGUAAUACGGAGGGUGCGAGCGUUAAUCGGAAUUACUGGGCGUAAAGCGCGCGUAGGCGGUCUGAUAAGCCGGUUGUGAAAGCCCCGGGCUCAACCUGGGAACGGCAUCCGGAACUGUCAGGCUAGAGUGCAGGAGAGGAAGGUAGAAUUCCCGGUGUAGCGGUGAAAUGCGUAGAGAUCGGGAGGAAUACCAGUGGCGAAGGCGGUCUUCUGGACUGACACUGACGCUGAGGUGCGAAAGCGUGGGUAGCAAACAGGAUUAGAUACCCCGUAGUC
rnacentral:rRNA from 1 species